rnacentral:misc_RNA from 1 species
AUCUUAUAUAUAGCACAAACACCUCAUCCCAAGCACACCUCCCUCACACCCAAACAUAAACAUCUGAAGCGUAAAAUUUGCAGACAAGCACAUCUACACAUCUACAGUUGACCCAACAUUUAAAGCAGUGUAAGCUUUGAUAUCAUAUUAAGAUAAUAGACUAAGCCUAACUCCAUCCUGAAAGUUAGCUCAAGAGGAGGAGAUUUACCCAAGUCUUAUAUGUAAUACAAACACCUUAUCCAAAAUCAAUGUGGGACAACAAUUUGGAUAAUCACAAGUAUGGGCCAUAGUUUUCUCCUUUUAAACCAUAAGAGUGAGAGAACAAAACAUUCAACAUAGAAGAAAUCAAGUAGAAAAAACUUACAAGAAAACACGAUAACAAGUGUGUGUUGAUGCUAAUGCACCAACACAGAUAUACACAAUAGAAAAAGAAAAAUGCACCAUCUAGCCCCAAACUCCACCCCCUCCCCUCUUAAAAAUGGCAAAUUAUGUGUAGCACACUUGCACAACUAAAUUUUAAAUAACACCUUCAUUUACAUCAUGACACCAAAAAAAGCUUCAAAAAAAAAUCAGAUAAUAAUAAUAACAAUAAUAAU